GACCUGAAGGCCGCUUGCAAGCGAGGUGAACAAGAGGAGACCAACUCCAGCGAGCGCCAUGACACCGAGUGGUCAACGAAUGUCGUCACAUCCCGGUGGCAAAGCUCUCUCGCCCAGCUCCGACCGACACGUGGUCCUCCAUGACAUCGAGUAAAUCAGGCACUCUGUGUCUGAGUUGAUCGGCUCUCUGCACCUGCCACGGGCAUUCUUCGGACGCACAGUUCUCGCCAUUGACGAUACGGGUCAUUCCCACUACAUCAGAGAAGACUUCUUCCUCCUCCACCGAUUCCUGCACCAUUUCUUCGCUGGUGAGGUUGCCAUGAGGUGAGCCCUCCGUCAGGCUGGCAGCGGCCGUGUCAUUGCUUUCAACGUGGGUCUGGUUGAACUCGGUGACAUUUCCCUCUGUGAUGUUCGGGCGCUGGUACCUGAAACUGGUCCUGGUUUUGCCAGUGAUUGUGACGCCACAUUUGAAGGGCUCUGAAAGAGUUUUGUGAUGUGAGGCGGAGGCUCAGGGUAUCAGAAUGUGGUCCGCGUGGAAUCCCGCUCACCAUUAGAUUCACAGGAUUUGUCAUCAUUAGCCAGGAAAUAUCCGUCAGCACAUGAGCAUUCAAUGUUUCCUUGCUCCACCUUGCAGAAGUGCUGGCAACCUCCGUUUUGGU